GGAGAAGGAAUAUCAGAAAGCUCCUGAUGGAGUAAGAACCUGUUGCUCCUUUCCGAUCGCUUCAGGAUCGCAGGUGUGAGUGAGUCCUCUUAGACCCCCGAGGAUGAAGCAACCCUCUUGGGAUGGCAGAACAACCAGGCCGAGGAAGCUGCCCAUGUACCAGACCCCAGGAGCCGCCCUACAAGCCCUGGACAGCUUUUACCCAGACUACUGGAUGAGUGAGAAAAAGACAAGGAAAUUGGUGCACAGACAGGUCUAUGAACUUGCCCAAAGUUAGCUAGUAAGUGGCAGAACAGGUGUUCAAACCUAAACCAUCUGGCUCUGGAGACUGUGCUGGUAACUGCUACCAGGAAUGUUCAUUUUGUAAGUGCCUUUUAAUACUGUUUGUGCAUAUAAUUUUACUAGUUUAAUAUAGAACAUAUAAAAAGACAUAUAGGAGUAUUAGUAUUGCAAAACCAACGUUAACCGGAUAUAAAAACACUUUUCUCAGACAAUCACUAUUAAUUUAUGAUGUCUGUCACCCACAGAAUCUUCUACCUUUCUGCCUAAAUGCACUUACCUUGGGCAUCAUUGGGCACCUACGUUUACAUCUCUAGCCACCCAAGGUUUUCACAGCUCUUGUAUAAUUUUCUUUUGAAGAUAAAAGAAGUGAUGGAUGGAGAGAUAAGAAGCGCUGUGGACAGAAUUGUGUCCCCCCCCCACCCAAGUUCAUAUACUGAAGCCUUAAUCUUCAAUGUGGUGGUAUUUGUAGAUGGGGCCUUUGGGAGGUAAUUAGGGUUAGUUGAGGCCAUGAGGGUGGGACCCCUAUGAUGGGAUUAGUGGCCUUAUAAGAAGAAGAAAAGAGAGAGCCCACUCUCUCUGCCAUGUUAGGACACAGAGAAAAAGUGACCGCCUGCUGGCCAGGAAGAGAACUCUCACCAGGAACGGAAUGUGCUGGCCUUGAUCUUGGACUUUCCAGCCUCAGAACUGUGCGAAAUAAAUGUGUGCUGUUUAAGCCACUUGGUCUAUCACAUUUUGUUAAAGCUAUCUGAACAGACAAAUACAAGAAGGAAGAAAAAAAAGGAGUGACAGAUGGAGUUCUUAUGGGAAUUGUAAUCUGACUUUAACCAGGUCUCAAACCUAUUUGUUUCUUUGUUUUGGUUACAAAAUGCCUAAUAACUGUGACUAAAGGUUGAAAGUUUUAUAUAUACCUAGUUAUAUAUACUCAGUUACAUAAACAUAUGCUUAGCUAUAUAAAUAUGUGCUUUAAAUACUUAUAUAUGUAUAUGUAUAUACAAGUGAAUACACUUUUGUUGAACUUUCCAGUUUCAUGAGUUGUUAAAUACUUUAAAAUUUAUUAAUGUAGAAUACUUGAAGCAUUAAAAAU